GGGGAAUUUUGGACAAUGGGGGCAACCCUGAUCCAGCCAUGCCGCGUGAGUGAAGAAGGCCUUCGGGUUGUAAAGCUCUUUCGGCGGGGAAGAAAUGGCUCUGGCUAAUACCUGGGGCACAUGACGGUACCGUAAGAAUAAGCACCGGCUAACUACGUGCCAGCAGCCGCGGUAAUACGUAGGGUGCGAGCGUUAAUCGGAAUUACUGGGCGUAAAGCGUGCGCAGGCGGUUUUGUAAGACAGAGGUGAAAUCCCCGGGCUCAACCUGGGAACUGCCUUUGUGACUGCAAAGCUGGAGUGCGGCAGAGGGGGAUGGAAUUCCGCGUGUAGCAGUGAAAUGCGUAGAUAUGCGGAGGAACACCGAUGGCGAAGGCAAUCCCCUGGGCCUGCACUGACGCUCAUGCACGAAAGCGUGGGGAGCAAACA
rnacentral:rRNA from 1 species